rnacentral:rRNA from 1 species
UUAGAGUUUGAUCCUGGCUCAGAACGAACGUUGGCGGCGUGGAUUAGGCAUGCAAGUCGAGGGAAUCCCAGGGCAACCUGGGGGAACCGGCGUAAGGGGCAGUAAGGCAUGGGUAACCUACCCCGAGGUCCGGGAUAGCCAUCAGAAAUGGUGGGUAAUACUGGAUGAUCUCGUGAGAGCAAAGGUCCGCCGCCUCGGGAGGGGCCCAUGUGGUAUUAGCUAGUUGGUAGGGUAAUGGCCUACCAAGGCGAAGAUGCCUAGCUGGUGUGAGAGCACGACCAGCGCCACUGGCACUGAGACACUGGCCAGACACCUACGGGUGGCUGCAGUCGAGAAUCUUCGGCAAUGGGCGCAAGCCUGACCGAGCGACGCCGCGUGCGCGAUGAAGGCCUUCGGGUUGUAAAGCGCUGUCGAGGGGAGGAAAAGCCCCGCAAGGGCUUGAUCGGCCCCUGGAGGAAGCACGGGCUAAGUUCGUGCCAGCAGCCGCGGUAAGACGAACCGUGCGAACGUUGUUCGGAAUCACUGGGCUUAAGGGUGCGUAGGCGGGUUGUCCAGUCUGGGGUGAAAUCCCACGGCUCAACCGUGGAAUUGCCUCAGAUACUGACGACCUCGAGGGAGGUAGGGGCGAGCGGAACUGUGGGUGGAGCGGUGAAAUGCGUUGAUAUCCACAGGAACUCCGGUGGCGAAAGCGGCUCGCUGGACCUCUUCUGACGCUGAGGCACGAAAGCUAGGGGA